CCUGACUCGUAUACAUGGUGCACCUUAUAAUUGGAAUUCUGUCUUAGAAGAUAUUAUUUAUAUGUAUAUGUAUAUUUUUGUCAAAAUAUUGAAAAAUAUUUUUGUCGAAUAUAAAAUUAAUUUUUACGAAGGUUAAAGAUUUGAUAUUUAAAAUUCUUUAAACUGGGCACAAUGGCUAAUCACAUGGCACUACUAAAGCUCUGCGAAAGCAGGGCUUUAAUCGUUUGGGGCAUAGCAUGAAUCCUGAAUGUCUCAUGAAAGGAUUGAAAGGAGUUGCUAAAGUACGAACAAAAGUGACUAUUAAAAGAUUAUAGAUGUAUCGUAAUCAGAAACCAAAACGCAAUCGUUCUGGAAAGAUUAUUAGCCCUGUGCCUUUUCAAGGCUGGAACACUUCUGGAACUAUGUCACACAUGGAACCAUCUUGGGGAUGGUUUGGUAAUUCGAGAGUUAUCUCGCAGAGAAUGCUCUACAAAAAUUCCAAAAUGAAUUGGGUACUGCUAUAGAAUCCCUAAUGUUGUAACGUUGUCAAGUUGGGCAAUUUUACCAUGUGUUCGAAAUUUAACGGCAACUGCUCUCUGAUGCAUCAUCAUUCUGUAUUAAAACAAACAGUAUAGAGCUAUAGGCAUUAUGAUAUAAUAAUUUACGACAUAAGUUAAGCGACACACCGAUUAUUAUACAAUAGAUCUUGU